AUGACAGUGUUAUGGUGUGUAUCCAAGGUAGAGUUAGUUUAUCAGCAGUUUAUCUCUCUAGUCUCCUCCUGGUUAAUACCAGUCUACAAACUCCUCCUGGUUAAUGCCAGUCUCCAGUCUCUAGUCUUCUCCUGGUUAAUACCAGUCUCCAGGCUCCUCCUGGUUAAUACCAGUCUCCAGUCUCCUCCUGGUUAAUACCAGUCUCUAGUCUCCUCCUGGUUAAUACCAUUCUCUAGUAUCCUCCUAGUUAAUACCAUUCUCUAGUAUCCUCCUGGUUAAUGCCAGUCUCCAGUCUCCUCCUGGUUAAUACCAGUCUCCAGUCUCCUCAUGUUUAAUCCCAUUCUACAGUCUCCCUUUAGACUCCCUGCUCAGACCCAGUCUACAGUCUCCACAGUCUCCACGCUCAGAGAGAGAGAGUUGUCAUGACGUUGCCCUCUUUGGGGAUAGCGAGUACCAUCCCUGUCACGCCCUGACCUUAUAGAGCUUUUUAUGUCUCUAUUUUGGUUUGGUCAGGGUGUGAUUUGGGUGGGCAUUCUAUGUUCUUGUUUCUAUGUUUUGUAUUUCUAUGUUUUGGCCGGGUAUGGUUCUCAAUCAGGGACAGCUGACUAUCGUUGUCUCUGAUUGGGAACCAAGUAGUAGCUUUUUCCCACCUAUGUUUUGUGGGUAGUUGGUUCCUGUUUAGUGUUCUGCACCUGACGGGACUGUUUCGUUUUGCACUUUGUUAUUUUUGUUUCAAGUGUUUAGUUUAAUAAAAGUCAUGAACAUUUACCACGCUGUGCUUUGGUCCGGUUCUUCCUCAUCAGACGACGACCGUUACAAUCCCCCUCUCUCUCUCACCACCUCUCUCUCUUCCCUCUCUGCCCCCUACCAACAGGCUCUGUUAGGCAGGUCAUAAAUUCCUAGAUGAGUUCUCUCCUCAUGUCCAGAGUAUAAGAGAGAGUGAGUUUUCAUAGAGAGAACAAAGGAAUUUCUUUCACAUCACAGAACAUGAGAACUGAACAAUAUUCUGGAGAAUGUGUAAACGGUCGGUGAAGUAGCCAGUUACAAACUGGUCCGAUUGGUACAAGUUGGUGACCUCGGGAAAGACAUUACCAUAACUCUGUUUAUGCAAGAGUCUCAGUUGUAAGGCUUGC
rnacentral:lncRNA from 1 species